rnacentral:rRNA from 1 species
CUACGGGCGGCAGCAGUGGGGAAUAUUGCACAAUGGAGGAAACUCUGAUGCAGCAACGCCGCGUGGAGGAUGACACUUUUCGGAGCGUAAACUCCUUUUAUAUAGGAAGAAGAUGACGGUACUAUAUGAAUAAGCGCCGGCUAACUCCGUGCCAGCAGCCGCGGUAAUACGGAGGGCGCAAGCGUUACUCGGAAUCACUGGGCGUAAAGAGCGUGUAGGCGGAUUAAAAAGUCAGAAGUGAAAUCCUAUAGCUUAACUAUAGAACUGCUUCUGAAACUCUUAAUCUAGAAUAUGGGAGAGGUAGAUGGAAUUUCUGGUGUAGGGGUAAUAUCCGUAGAGAUCAGAAGGAAUACCGAUUGCGAAGGCGAUCUACUAGAACAUUAUUGACGCUGAGACGCGAAGGCGUGGGGAGCAAACAGGAUUAGAUACCCUUGUAGUC